rnacentral:rRNA from 1 species
CCUACGGGAGGCAGCAGUGAGGAAUAUUGGUCAAUGGACGGAAGUCUGAACCAGCCAUGCCGCGUGCAGGAUGACGAUCCUAUGGAUUGUAAACUGCUUUUGUACAGGAAGAAAUGUAGUUACGUGUAACUAUUUGACGGUACUGUAAGAAUAAGGACCGGCUAACUCCGUGCCAGCAGCCGCGGUAAU